GCUUAAACAUUAAAUCGGGCGCCCCGGCUGCGCCGGCCCCCGGGCGCCGCGUCGCUGCGCCCCGCACGCCCGCCGCCCGGACGGGCCUCCCGGCUCCCAGCCCCUCGGGCGCCCCGGGCUCCAGGGCAGCGGAGGGCUCGGGGCCGCGGAGCGGCGCCUCACCUGGCACGUAGAUCUCGCCGCGCUCCUCGUCGGGGAGCUCGCUCCAGUUCCUCUUGCACGUGGAGACGCACGGCUUCUUCACCAGAAACGCGCGGGGCAUUUUCGAACCCUGCUCGCCCGGCACCGUCCGCUUCCGUAACCAGAGCCGGGAGCCGUCCCACCUUUCCCGGGCCGAGCCGGAGGCGGGGGAGGGGAGGGGGCAAUUCAGGGAAGGAGUGGCCCAAGUGCCCCGGCGUUCCUCGGGGAGACCGUGCCCGGGACGGCGCGCGCCGGUUUCCAACUCCGCGGGGCCGUCGCCGCCCUCCCUCGAACGGAGGCCCUCCCGGCCAGGUGCACCGGGCGGCGGGGACAGCGGCAGGUUAAGAGGAAAUGAGUCUGAUAAAUGAAUUCACUCUAUUCAAAAGCCAGAAGUCCAAGAGGAGCAGACCGCUGAUGUCCGACUUCCGGGCAGGCCCUGUACAUUGCCCUGCCCCCACUCCCAGGACUUUCUGGGAGCACCCCCUAGACCCUUACAGGGGCUCGUCACCCAGUAGGUGCUUCGUGGAAACUAUGACGAAGUCUUCACCGAUGACCCUGGACACGAGAAGCAUAGUCUUUCUCGUGGAAGGGGGGGGUGGGCAGUGAGGAACAACUCAAAUGUCUCCACUUGUGAAAAGAAUGUUACACAGUGUUUGGAAUGAGGCCCCGGGAGGGAGGGAUAUUCGUCCAUGGUUUCCGCUGCCCUAUCUACAACUGUUGCUGGCACAUAGUGGAUUAUCAAUAUUUGUUGAAUGAACGAAUAUCUGGUUUUCUUGACU